rnacentral:lncRNA from 1 species
ACUUAUCAUGUUUUUAUAGCAAACAAGAAAAGAUUGGCCAAUUAAACCAAAGAAGUCCAUCAACAAGUCUCUUAACGUGAAGUCCUUACGUAAAAAGACAAUAUGGGUUCAACAGAGAGCCUCAGAUAGAUGCCAAGACUAAACAAGAAGUUGCAUCAUGCUUGCCGAGAACAUUCUGUUCCAAUAUGGAUUUGUUCUAAAGAUAGUCAAGAGUGUAGGAAACUAGAAACAGCAAGAAUAGUACCUUUCGUUGGUAGUUUUGGGCUCUCAAAGCAUGCAGUUUCAGGUUCCGUGCUGUUUAGUCCGUCAUUCUACAAUACGUGCCGCCUGCUUUCACAGUUCCCACAAGUCGCUUUGGUCCAAUUCAAUAUAAGAAUACUCAAAAUGUCCGAUUGUCAAGAUGACAAUGGAAGUGCAUGUCAGAAAUCGUCCUGCAAGUGCUAGGGCACAUGGAAGAAAAUUGGGCAUAACUUUGUGAGUGGGGUCGCCAAGGCAAGCAAGCGAAGCCGAUAGUAAGGCUAUUUUCUUUCUGGGGGAAGUUGAUAUUUAGAACAAGUGAGGACGCUAAAUUUUCUGUAGUUAGUACCGGGAUCUGUGGAAUGGGAGUAGUAAUCUAUUGCUGAAUGGAAUGGAUAGAUAAACGGAGGGUGUUGACAAAGAGUCUUGGGAACCAUGGGGCUUAGAGACUAUAUCUUCUGAAUUUGUAGUUGAUUUUGUUGACCGAUACCAUUGACGGCAAUGGGAGCUUCAAGCCCAGGUGGUUUGCCUUUUAUCCGUUACAGAAAGAUCAGCCGGAUAGCCACAGUGCUUGGCUGAUGCUCUUUUAUCCGGAAAGGAAAGCGGAUUGUUGGCCUGGUUUUUUCCUUCACCUGGUGGCCAUGCACUUCUCAUCCGCUUGUUCUGUUACUGACAUAGUAUUUGCCUUGGAAUGAGGAGGAGGAGGGCAGGAAGACGAAUUGGGAGUAGGCAUCUUGGUUGGUAUUGUCUCGACAGAGAUAAAUGAGCUCGAGGAAGGUAAGUUUCACAAUUUCCUUUGGAGAAACAAACUAUUUUAGCUUAGCUGAGUGCGCAAUCAUUUCAGAUCCACUUUAACUUUUGUUGGGCAAUCAUUUCAGACUAAAAGUAUCGCUGCAACUGUUUCAGCACGAUAAGGCUGACUUUAACUUGACUUGGCAAUAAUUUCAGAUCAAAACUUUGUUAGCCACAUUUUAGUCUUGUGCAUCCAUUCCACAAGGUGGGUAGGGAGUCAUGAUUUUUGUCUUCUUUCGGUUCUUCUAAUUAGUAUUCGUGAUUUCGUUCCUUUGUUAAGCAGAAUUGUGGAAAGUUCAGCGAAAGGCUGCUCUUUGCCCUGUUCUGUGCCCUGUUCUUGUAACUUGCCAUGGAAAGAAAAAAUCGGUACAGUUCUUGCGGAGAAUAUCCAUAACAUCAGCUUCCCCUUUCGACUGAAAACCGACCAGAUGAUAUCUGGGGGAAAUGCGGAUUUUGAUUUUCUUGCGAGAACAACCCGUACAGUACGAACGGUAACCUUGAGAAAAUACUACGUGCAGGCCAUCGACUACAACAACAACACAAUUCGCCUCGUCGCUGUAGGCAUACGGGCAAAGAUUGUUCCACUCUUCCUCUCGAUUAAAUCCUGUCAACAAGACUUCAUAGGCUAUGAUUUGAUUAUUACGACGGUGAUACAUUGGAGAACCAAAAGCUAUUAUUAUUAUUAUUCUUACUUGGCUGUGUUCGUGGAUGUGAAAAUGCAGUGAAGCCUCCUCUUACAUAGACGGAUAUUCAUAUGUACAUCCAGCUGCUUGUGAAAAUGCACCAGGAGUUCCUCCAACCUGUCUCAAGGGGCAAUAUUCCUAUUUUCUGGUAGUAGACGUGAGGAGGAGAUAUUCCAAACUUGUGCAACGGGACGUGGUUGCUCCGGUUUCUGGUUUAUAAAUACGCAGAACAUUUCCUUCUCGGACAUCCACAAUGGGUUGGCUCAUGGAUUUGAGCUUCAGUGGUCCACGUACGGAAUUCGCCACAAAAAUUGCAUUCGGCAUACAAAAUGCUUCGAUGAUUCUCAAAAUCUCGCUGCCAUUUGCGUAAUCUAUCGUGACCCUUUAUCCUACGGAUUACUGGGUAUGGAUUUGAAGAGGUUGCGUAUUCAGACUUUCUGAUCCUUAAGGGGCCGUUGCUACCGGAUUAAAGGCGGAGGAUAAUUUUUUUCACUCGGGAUAAUUUUUUUUUCCUUGGUCGUUUGGCUCCGGAUAUAUGAGGCGGAUAAUUUCUGCCCCCGAUAAUUUAUGGCCGAAUUAGGUAGAUUAGGUGAAUAAUUUUUUUGAGUGCCUAAACCCUAACUAAAAGUUUUAUCCGGGGGACAAAGGGGUGGGGAUAAGGAAAAAAAUAUCUAAAGAGAAUAAAAUGUAUAAUUUAUAUAUAUAUCUAUAAUUUAUAUAUAUAUUAAUAAGAAAUAAAAUAUAUAUUUUUAAUAUCUAAAUUUUAUUUUUGUUUUUUCUAUAUUUUUUUUUUCUAUCCUCCACCCUUAUCCACCCAUUCUAAAAAGUAUCCAAACAAAUUUAAAAGUUAUCCCCUCUAAAAUUUAGCCCUCUCCCAUAUCCCUCCAUCAAAAGGAACCUAAAUUAAAACUCACCUUGAACUUUGGACUUUAUAGGCCUUCUAAUUAGACUUCCUCUUUCCCAAUUCAGAUGGUACAAAGGAAUUAUAAUGUGUGUAUGGACCACGUAACAGUUUUUAGUAGCCUCGUUAUAGUAAGUACUAUAAUUCUAUUAAGACGCGUAACUUCAUGAACCCUCCCGCUGAAGGUUAUGAUAAAAACAGGAAUCCUCCCUGAGAUUUAAAAAAAUUACACUUCCUCCCCUGUCAGACUUUAUUUGUCAUUAUGGCAAUCAAAUUACUAUUUUUUUGUUUGUUUUUUUUUUUUUUUUUUUUUUUUUUUUUUAUUUUUUUUUUACCCCUCCUCACUCACUCAGAGCCAUACCCACUCCACUCCCCACCACCCACUCCCCACCCCCCCCCCACCCUAUUCUUGGUUUUUCAAUUUUUUUAAAAAUCUUUUUUAUUAUUUUUUUUUAAAUCUAAUUUAAUUUCCUUUUUUAUCAAUUUUUAUUUUUCUCUGGGCUACAUAAUUUUUUAUUAUUGUUUUUUGUUUUGUUUCUUUUUUUCAUUAAUUUUAUUUUUAUUUUUAUUUUUUUAAUAAAAAAAUAGUGUUAUUACAUAAUAAACAAAAUUAAAUAAAAAAACUAUUUUUUUAUUUAUUUUUUACUAAUUUUUUUAAUUUUUAUAUAUAUUUCUUUCUUUAUUUUUUUUUUAGUUUUUAUUUAUUUUUCUUUUAUUCUUUUUUUUUUCCUUUUUUACAAAUUACUUUUUUUUAGUCCAUUAUCUACAAACUCAAAACCCUUCUUCCCCACCUCCCUCCUCCCCCCCUCCCCUCCUCUAUCCACCCUCCCCUUCCUCCCUCCCUCCCCCCUUCCCUUUCCCCCCCUCCUCCCUCCCCCCUCCUUUUUUCUUCCUUUUCUUUCUUCUUUCCUCCCCCUCUUUUUUCCUCCCCCCCUCCCCUCCCUUCCCUUCCCUUCCCCCCCUACCCCCCCCCCCCCCCUCUCUCCUCCCCCCCGCUUCUUUCUCCCCCCCUCCCCUUCCCCUUUCUCCCCCCUCUCCCUCCCUUCUCUAUCCCCCCUUUUCCCCCUUUCCCCCCCCCCCCUUUUUUUUUUUUUUUGGGCUGGGGGAGUUGAUUGAGAGGGGUAAAUAGUAAUUUGACUUGCCAUAAUGGCAAAUAAAGUUUGACAUGGGAGGAUGUGUAAUAUUUUUUAAAGGUAGGUUCCUGUUUUAUCAUAACCUCAGGGGAGGUCAGUAUAGCACAUACCCUUAUAUAAAUAGCCAAAGUGUCAAGCCUUAAGGGGACACAGAGAUGUGUUGGUUUGGGUUUAAGACACGAUACAAUCGAAUCAUCCUUCCUUGCAACUGAACCAACCCAAAUUCGAGUAACUCAUAUUAUCUUUAAAAGUGCAAGUGCUUGUUAUAAAACAAUUUUUAAAAAAAAUUGUGUAAAGUGAAAUUGUUAGUCUCAAUUUCAAUGCAAGUUCUUUUAAUGAUUAUAUAGAUCAAAGUUCAAUAUAAUAAAUGGUCACACCUAAUUAUAUGAAGACGUGCAUACUUUCAGCUAGCCUCAAGGUAACCGAAUAACGAAACAAGUCUUUUCUUUUUUUGUACAAGUCAGAGAACCAAAAACUACCUAUUUUGGAUUGAUAAUGUUUAGACCCUAAUCAAACCUUUGCCUUUAAGAGCAAACUGAAGUUCGUAUUACAUAGGUUCGGCAGGUUUUUCUCAAGUCAUUUGUCCACCCUAAUCAACUCACUCAAGUUAAUACUUGAAAGCAUAACUUCUUUCCCCUUCGCUUGUUGGUUAAGGAAAGAAGAUAAAUAUUUUUUGGAUAAGGUAAGUACUGAGUUGAGGUCUCCGUACUGAUACGGUCCAGUUAAUAACCUGUUGAGAAGUUGUUGGAUUCUAGUUGCAUUUUUUAUUUCCUUCCAAGAUGCCUUCAUCUCCUAUAGAAGAAUGUUAAUUAAAAGUUUCUUUGGGUUUAGUUGAUCUUCUCAUUACUUGUUUUUUUUUUCUUUAACUGAUUUAAUAAUAUAGCUGAAUCUACUUUUAUUUAUGUUGUAGAUUUUCUCUCAACCAGAACCAUUGGUAAGACCUCCCAUCUUAAUUUGUUUUAGUGAUAUUCAUCUUCUCAUUACUUGUUUUUGUUUUAUUUCCUUAACUGCAUCAAUUACAUAGCUGAAUCUACUUUCGUUUUCUUGUAGGUUCUUUGUUAAAUAUACCCUUAGGCAUUGGUAAGACCUCUCCUUUUAAUUUCCUCCCUUUCAACAUAGUGUGAUAUUAUUCUCAAUUCCAGUAUAACUAUAGUAAUUAUAUAAAUUACAACUACGUUUGAAUUUGAAAUUUAUCUCCUCGUUAUCUACGGCUGAAAUCAAUUGAGUUGAUCCAACGGCUCAUUUCAUUCACCACUCAAAUUUUUUGUUUUUUGCCCAAAAAUAUCACUUUCCUCUCCUCUCCUUCCAUCACUUUCACUUUCUCUCUCCUCAUAACUCUCACUUUCUCUCCUCUCAUCAAUUUCAUAUCAACCCUUUUAUACUUUUUUAAUACCCAUUUAUUCUUUUUUUUUUUACUUUCAUUUUUGAAUUUUUAUAAUAAUUUUUUUUUAUAAAAUUUUAUAACCCUUUUAAUUUCUUUUUUUGUUUUUAAUAUCCCUUGAUUCUUUUGUUGUUUAUUUUUACUUUCAUUUUCAAUUUUUAUAUAACAAAACUAUGAUAAUUUUUAUAAUUUUUUUACUCUACCUUAUUUUUUUUAAAAGAAAAAAUAUGAAUCAAGAUUUUUAAAUAUUAAUUUUUAAAAUUUUCGGUGGGUAGUAGUUAUAUGUUAUUUGUUAUUUUCAGCCUUUUUUUUAACAUCCCUGAUUCUUUUUUUUUACUUUCACUUCUUGAAUUUUUAUAUUAAAAAAUAAUAAUUUCUUUUGGAGGAGAUAUUGAUAGAAAUUAUGUUCUUAUGUAUGUGGCAUUUACGCCUGUAUUAAUACGUUAAAAAAUAUUAUUUUUCUAUGUAUGUUUUAUGAAUAAAUUCAAACUACUAAAAAAUGCAUUAUUAUUUUUCAAGUAUAUCCUCAAAUAACGAAUAACAUAAACUAUCAAACCCAUCGAAAUUUAAAAAAAAUGUUAAAAAUUUUGAUCCAUUUUUUUUUUUUAAAUAAUAAAAACAUAGUUUGGGAGUAAAACUAUAUAAAAAUUUGGAAGUGAAGUAAAAAUAAAAAAUAAGAAUUAAGGGGUAUUAAAAAAAAAAUAAAAAAGAUUAUAAAUUUUAUCUAUUUUUUUAUAUAAAAAUUCGGAGUGAAAGUAAAAAAAAAAAAGGAAUUAAUAUUUCCAUUAACAAAAGAAUAAAUGGUAUUAAAAAAAAAAUAAAUAGUUUUGAUUGCAAAUUGUAAGUUUGAGAGAAUUUAGAGUAACAGUUAAAAAGUCAAAAAAAAAAGGUCACAUUGAGGGGGUGAGGUUGUAGGGGUGAAAAUCAGCUCUCUUAUGUUAGUUUUAGAUUUAGAUUAGUUAGUUUUAAUGAGAAAGUAACUGAGAGAUCCUUAUUGUGAUCAAUUUUUCUUUUUUAUUUUUAUUUUUAUAAUUUGUUUUCUUUCUUCUUUCGAUGAAAAUCACAAUUGAUGAAUAUUUUUUUUUUUUUUGCGUGCACGGAUAAUUCUAGUAGUCAUUAAUAAGUACAAAGCUCACCAGCAAAUAAAUGGUCCCAGCUAGAGAAAGUUUUUACUUUUUUUUUGGUUAAAGGAAAGAAAAAGGGGAAAAAUGGGGUGGAUAGUCUGAUCUCAUUGUCCUACUCGAAGGUUGUAACAUAAUAUCUUCAGAAUGGGUUGGACAUCCAGUUGGAUUUCUUAUUUAGGCCUUCGGUAAGACUAAUUGAAUGCUUCUUUAAGUUUGGUUGAUCUUCUCACUACUUUUUUUUUUGUAUUUUUUUCUUUAACUGCUUUAAUCGUAUGACUGAAGCUUCUUUCAUUUGUCUUACAGGUUAUUUCUUAAUAGUGCUAGGUAAGACCAAUUAUCUCAAUUUCUCCUCUUCCAAUAAUCAAUUAUGAAAAUUAUAAUAUGAAGGAACGAAAUAUAAUGCAACGAUGGGUAAAGAAAAAUAUGGAUUUUGAACCACAAUAUUCGCUCCAUCCUAAUAUAUUUGUCCAUCUUUUCAAUUUGAAAUGUCCCAAGAUAUAUGUUCACUUCGAAAAAUCAAAGCAUAAAACUUGUUAGUAUUUCUAAACUAUACCUUAUAAGUGGUUGUAGAGAUAUAGGGGAAAUUCUUGGAAAUUACUACUUUUAGAUUUGUUUUUGCAAAUGCAUGUUCUUGCAAAAGGUUGUAACUCUGUAAAGGGACAAAUAAAUUGAGAAUGGAGGGAGUAUCUUGCAAAUUUGGUGAUAGCUCUAGGGCAAAUUUUUUUCCCCUCUUCUUAUUGGUUAAUCUGUGAUCUUUUCAUAUGCAGGUUGAUCCUUGUAAUAAUAGUUAUGCAACACCAGUGUGUGGUGGGUUUGUUAAAAUCUAUAAGUUUAGAAGAAGACAUUUAUCCAUGUUUGAUAGCAUCGAAGGUUUCCUACGAAGCCAAAUAACCUCAUGCCAUUAGCUACUCUUUACUCUUACUCAGACAUUAAAGAAAAUGACCAAAGGUUUCACGGACAGUUGGGCGAAGGAGGCUAACGGUUCUGUAUAUCAAGGAAAGCUUAGAAGUGGCCGUCUUGUAGCAUUAAAGGUAUUGGGCAAGCCCAAGCCAUGGGCAAGAAUUCAUCAAUGAAGUUUGCCUACCAAUAGGAAGGAAUUCAUCACACUAAUGUGUUCAACUAGUUGGAUAUUUGUGCUUAGAGAUCUAAGCGUGCCCUUUUUAACGACUUCAUGCCUAAGGUGGGGUCUCUUGAAAAGUACAUUGUUUCUCAAGAAGGAACUAUCUCCUUGAGUGCGAGCCAUGUCUGG